CCAAAGGUCCAUCUAGCCCAGUAUCCUGUCUACCAACAAAAAGCAACAGCGGGUCCUGUGGCACCUUUAAGACUAACAGAAGUAUAGGGAGCAUAAGCUUUUGUGGCUCCACUACUGCAGCACCCAAAAGCCUCACUCAGGUCCGGGCCUCAUUGUGUUGGGUGCUGCAUGGAAAAUCAGAGAGAAACAGAGAUGUCUGGAGAUGGAUAGAUGAGCGUCUCCGGCAUACAGAGGAGGGGUGGAGAGGUGUGUGUGGCACAUGGAGGACAGAUGGUGAUGCUGCAGGCUGACAGCCACCACCAAGCAGAGCCUGGCCACAGAGCAGCGCUACAGCAGGUGCAUGGACCAGCUGCACACGGUGCUCCUCAUCUGCUCCGAGACGGACAAGCACGUGGGCUCCUGGCUGCUGAACAACCUGCCCCAGAUCUCACCCUCUCCUGCUACCGGAGUAGCCUGCUCACCACUGAGACCAAGACCAGCCCCCAGCUGCCCUGGCAGCCACUGACCCUAAUGUGGAGAGCCUGAUGUGUGGUGGGGGGAAACAUCCCAGUAUCUCCUCUGUAGGGUCAGGACGUAUUAUUAAAAACUGCUCCCUGUCCCAAUUUCCUAAUGGUUGCAGUUACAGGACAUAGCAAUUUUUUUGCUGUCCUGAUACAAUUCAC